UCCGACACGUGUGUAGCUGCAGCUGUGGUAACUACAGCAGAGCUGGCAACCCGGAUGCUGCAACACUACUGACUUCGUGAUUGGUAGAUAGGUGGAGGGCGGCGCAUCAGACUAAAACACAACAUGACAACAUCAACAUCAGUUGAGGGCUGCAACUUCACUUUUUAAAUGACAAUAUCCUGGCCGGACUACUUGAGUAUUUGAAAUGAACAUGAUUUCUUAAUGUCUAGUGACAUAUCAGGGCCAUUUUAUGAUUAAUUGAAAUAAAUUUCUUACAUACAGCUCCUUUAACA